rnacentral:rRNA from 1 species
GACGAACGCUGGCGGCGUGCUUAACACAUGCAAGUCGAGCGGUAAGGCCCUUUCGGGGGUACACGAGCGGCGAACGGGUGAGUAACACGUGGGUGACCUGCCCUCAGCUCUGGGAUAAGCCUGGGAAACUGGGUCUAAUACUGGAUAUGACUCCACGGUGCAUGUCGUGGGGUGGAAAGCCUUGUGCGGCUGAGGAUGGGCCCGCGGCCUAUCAGCUUGUUGGUGGGGUGANGGCCUACCAAGGCGACGACGGGUAGCCGGCCUGAGAGGGCGACCGGCCACACUGGGACUGAGACACGGCCCAGACUCCUACGGGAGGCAGCAGUGGGGAAUCUUGCGCAAUGGGCGAAAGCCUGACGCAGCGACGCCGCGUGAGGGAUGACGGCCUCGGUGUAAG